GCAUGUACAAUGGAUGUGUAAUCUUGUUUGGGGCAUAUAGAAGUUUUUAUUAAAAAACCCUCUAUCGUACACGGGCAAUGUUACAAUAUUUAGUGCUUAAGCACGAGGAGGAACAAAGAAUGGAACAAGGAACAGUAAAAUGGUUUAAUGCAGAAAAAGGGUUUGGAUUUAUCUCUCGCGAAGACGGAAGCGAUGUAUUCGUACACUUCUCAGCUAUCCAAGGAGACGGAUUCAAAACUUUAGAAGAAGGUCAAUCAGUAAGCUUCGACGUUGAAGAUUCAGAUCGUGGACCUCAAGCAGUUAACGUAGAAAAAAACUAAUUCAUCCAUUCCAAAACAUCUGACGAAAGUCGGAUGUUUUUUU
rnacentral:sRNA from 1 species